GUUGGAACGUCCCGCCGGCUUCACCGCAGGCCGGCAUCUCAGCCUCAGGCCCCACAGCGGGUCUCCCGUCUCCACCCUCGCGGGCUCUGCAGGGCUGGGGCUGCUCCUGAGUUUCUGGGCAUUCGGUGCUGACUACAGGUCUACAGUCUAAGUCCAGCGCCUGAAGCUGAGGUGUGUGGAUUCCACACUGAUCGUGUCCCCUACACGCUCAUCUUCCGUGUACAGAACGGAGACUCCUUCCUCCACCUACCCAGAGACGCCUGUGUAACUGACUCUUCCUUUACUCCCUUUCCCUCGCCGGUCAUUCGCCUUACCUUAUGGAAAGUGUAAAUUAGGCACUGAGGAACGUCUCACAGGAAUGCAGCCUUCAGCCUUCCUGCCUGCUGGCCCCUCUUCCUACCUGCCCCCGGCCCCGCUUAAGGAAAUGCGCCAACAGGAAGCCUCCUGAAAAGCUCUUUGGAGAAACAGCCGCAGCUGUGUCUGUGGCUGGUGUUUUUCCCAGGUGAACCCUAAAGCUGGCUUGAAAAACCUAAAUGAGCCGAGUGCAGUGGCUCACGCCUGUAAUCCCAGCACUUUGGGAGGCCGAGGUGGGUGGAUCACCUCAGGUCAGGAGUUCAAGACCAGCCUGGCUAACAUGGCGAAAGUCCAUCUCUACUAAAUAUACAAAAAUUAGCCGGGUGUGGUGGUGCAUGUCUAUAGUCCCAGCUACUCAGGAGGCUGAGACAGGAGAAUCGCUUGAGCCCGGGAGGCAGAGGUUGCAGUGAGCCAAGAUCAUGCCACUGCCCUCCAACCUGGGUGACAAGAGGGAGACUCCAUUCUUCCAAGAGGGAGAAUUUUAAUUCAUGUUGUUUUAGAGUCCAUUUAUGCCAUCACAAUUGAUGUUUUACAUUUAUUUAUUUUCUUUUCUCCUAUUUUGCUUUCCAUUAAAUAGAAAAAAGAAAAACCUCCAUGAUCGAGACUUAAGCCUCAGUUGCUCAUUUCACUCGUCAAACCCAUAGUCGCAUCUUCUGAUUUAUGACAAACUUAUGUCCUAGGGACCAGGGGCUCCUGCAGAUGCAGCAUCUCAAGGAACCUGGCCAAUGCGGAUGUGGUGUUUGUAGAGGCGCAGGUUCCAUUCCAACACACGCUCAAGCCCUGCUGUGCAACGUGAGCUCUCCCGGCGGCACACUGGCUAUCCCGGCCCUUGACUCGUCUCUGCUGUCCUUCCUCUUCUCAACAUGUGUCUCCCAAAAGGAUGAAAACACUGCUUCUUUUUGAGAGCUCUCAUGUGAGACGGAAAGUGCUAUUGAAAGGGGGACGGAUCCGUGACCUGCAUGACCAGCGUUCACCCAGCACAGGACAUCACCCAGUGCAUCGCUGCGAGCGGUGGCGUGGAGGGGCCCAUGCUCCUCUGGGAGAACUGGGGGAGAACCGGGACCCCCGGAGGCAGCCAGAGCUCGGACCCCUGGCCAUGGGGGAGGAGGGAAGGAGGGCCACACCCAGAACGCCCUGAGGCUGCAAGAGAGGCAGGCCUGGGGCAUUGAACCAGGGGCUGCAGUGAAGAAAGGGGAGAAGUCUGAGAUCCAAAAUGCAAAAACCACAGGGAAGCAGCGGGCAGGUGCUGGGGCCGGGGCUGGGGCAGGCGCAGGGGCAGGGGCAGGUGCAGGGGCUGGGCAGGCGCAGGGGCAAGUGCAGGGACAGGCUCAGGGGCGG
rnacentral:lncRNA from 1 species